UACGUAGGGUGCGAGCGUUAAUCGGAAUUACUGGGCGUAAAGCGUGCGCAGGCGGUUUUGUAAGUCAGAUGUGAAAUCCCCGGGCUUAACCUGGGAAUGGCAUUUGGGACUGCAAGGCUCGAGUGCGGCAGAGGAGACUGGAAUUCCUGGUGUAGCAGUGAAAUGCGUAGAUAUCAGGAGGAACACCGAUGGCGAAGGCAGCCCCCUGGGUCAAGAUUGACGCUCAUGCACGAAAGCGUGGGGAGCAAACAGG
rnacentral:rRNA from 1 species